rnacentral:rRNA from 1 species
GACGAACGCUGGCGGCGUGCUUAACACAUGCAAGUCGAACGGAAAGGCCCUGCUUUUGUGGGGUGCUCGAGUGGCGAACGGGUGAGUAACACGUGAGUAACCUGCCCUUGACUUUGGGAUAACUUCAGGAAACUGGGGCUAAUACCGGAUAGGAGCUCCUGCUGCAUGGUGGGGGUUGGAAAGUUUCGGCCGUUGUGGAUGGACUCGCGGCUUAUCAGCUUGUUGGUGGGGUAGUGGCUUACCAAGGCUUUGACGGAUAGCCGGCCUGAGAGGGUGACCGGCCACAUUGGGACUGAGAGACGGCCCAGACUCCAACGGGAGGCAGCAGUGGGGAAUAUUGCACAAUGGGCGGAAGCCUGAUGCAGCAGCGCCGCGUGCGGGAUGACGGCCUUCGGGGUGUAAACCGCUUUCGCCUGUGACGAAGCGUGAGUGACGGUAAUGGGUAAAGAAGCACCGGCUAACUACGUG